rnacentral:rRNA from 1 species
CAGCGGCCCUAGUGGUGAUCGUUAUUAUUGGGCCUAAAGCGUCCGUAGCCGGUUCGGUAAAUCUCUGGGUAAAUCGAUGGGCUUAACCCAUCGAAUUCUGGGGAGACUGCUGGACUUGGGACCGGGAGAGGUCGGAGGUACUCCAGGGGUAGGGGUGAAAUCCUGUAAUCCUUGGGGGACCACCGGUGGCGAAGGCGUCCGACCAGAACGGGUCCGACGGUAAGGGACGAAGCCCUGGGGCGCAAACCGGAUUAGAUACCCGAGUAGUCC